rnacentral:lncRNA from 1 species
AAUAUCAAAAUUAUUCAAAAAAAUGAUUUUAAUUCAAAAUAUGGAAGAGAAAAAUAUUUAAAGAUUUUUGGUGAAAAAAAUCAUAUUUUUUGGAUUAAAAAUGAAAUUUCUAUGAAUUAAGUAAAAUAAGAGGAUUAAAAGGAAAAUCAGAAAAUAAAAAAAAAUAAAAAAAACACGGGCCAUCAAAUCUCCCUCAUUAAUUGAGGUGGCAGAUCUGAUGGCCACAAACG